AGAAGCAAAUUUCAUGAAGUAAACACAUUAGGACAAGUUUUAAUGACCAAACAUUAACUAAGAUAUGUAUCAUUAAUAUAAACUUCUCCAUAAAUGGUGUGAAAGUGGUCACACUCAUUGCCUGUCCCAAGUUAAUCACUUAAGCCCUUACCUGCCUGGUUGGCACAAUCUCAACUGCAAAGGCCGCUGCCCUGAGUUUUCCGGAGAGCAUAAUUCACAUCCUGGUUGCUAAGUGUCCCUUGCUUGGAUUCACAAACUUACAGCUCUUAUCCCAUUCUGUUCCUAUCAUAGCUGCUCCGGCCUGGACCCCACUACCCACCACCUCUUAGACCCGAACCACUGACUGCCUUCCCUCUUAGGCUCUGCCUUUGAGAGAGGAGCUCUCCCCCGAAACAUCCUGAGCACGAAGAAUCUGAAAUCAGAGGGUGCCUUUCCCAUAGACAUUCUAGCUUCUUGUUCUUCUGGCCAGGUCCGCGUUUCACACUCCUAGGAAUUCCCAGGUGCCUUACACAGGCCUUUAGGGAAUCUGGUCCAUUGAACACCAAAGUGGCUGCAAAUUCCUCCCCUCCCUGCCUUCACUGUUAUGGUAACGUUGCAGCUUCUCCCCUCAAGAGGUUAGAGUCCAUUCCCCUACUCCUUGAAGUUGGUUCUGGUCAUGUGAUGGGCUGUGGCCAAUGGAGUGUUCGCAAACAUGACAUAUGCGGAAGUACGUUCGCACUUCCGCUCUGGGAGGCUUACCUGUUUUUGCUGCUGGGAACGCCGAAGCCCUCAGGUGCUGGAGCCUGGGUUAAGCUGCUGGCGGAUGCUGGCCCCCUUGGAUCCAGGCGGAGCAGUUGCAGCAGAGGGUCCUGCACCCACUGGUCAGCCAGCCAGCUACUGUGAAUGAGCGCCCCAGCCCACCCACCGGCUGACCACAGGGAUGAACCAGCGGGCCCAGGUCAGAACCGCACAGCUGAACUCCAGAACUGCAAAUGAAGUAAAAUGCUGAAUUAAAUCACAGGCAGUAAGCAGGCCCCGAAUGUCUUCUCCUUACAAGACCCUAAGCUGCAGUCACCGAGGAGCAGAUAUGGAGGAGAGAAGGCCGCCACCACCCUUAGGGAGAUGAGUCUCCCCUGACAAGGAAGGAGAAGGUGACUCAGAGAAACAUGCAGCUCCUUCCUCCUCCGUACCUAAGAAAUUUUUCACGUUGCGAUGGCUCAAAAGUCUUGUGCCAACACGUUCUGCCGCUGUGAGAAGGCGACGGGGGACCCUGGUGCCUCAUUCUGAUGUCUUUGCAGAAAGCAGUAAAGAGUGCCAAUUCUUUUCCUG